GCGGCUAUGGCGGAACUGGCAGACGCGCUGGAUUUAGGUUCCAGUGGGAAACCGUGGAGGUUCAAAUCCUCUUAGCCGCACCA
rnacentral:tRNA from 1 species